rnacentral:ncRNA from 1 species
UAAUAUAUUUUAUUUUAGUAUGCAUAUUUUCUUGUUUUCUUUAUUUUACAUACGAUAUUUUGUUUUUAAUAGUCUUUUUUGUAGUAAAUAUUUUUUUUGAUUAAAUUUAGAUUUUGAAAAAGUAAUAGAAAAAAAAAUUAACUUAUUUUGUGCCAGCAGUUGCGGUUAUACAAUUGAUUUUAAGAAAAUUUAUUUAUUAAUUUAGUUAUUUAAAAUUAUUAGGUAAUAAAUUUAAAUUUAGGGGUAAAAUUUAAAUUUGAUUGGCUUAUUUAUUUAUAGUAAUUAUGAAAUUAAUUAUAAAACCAGGAUUAGAUACCCUGUUAUUUUAACUUAAAAUUAUUGGAGUAGUAUUAGCUAAAAUCUUGAAACUUAAAAAAUUUGGCGGUAUUUUAUCUUUUUAGAGGAACCUGUUUUCUAAUUGAUAAUCCACGACUUUAUUUACUUUAAUUAUUUUACUUGUAUACCGCUGUCAUGAAUUUAUUUUAAAUUUACUUUCUUAUUGUCUUAAUUUUACUUUAUGUUAGGUCAAGGUGCAGUUUAUUAAAGCUUUAAAUGGGUUACUAUAAAAAUUAUGAAUGAAUAAAUUAAAUGUUUUAUUAUUGAAAAAGGAUUUAAUAGUAAAUUUAAAUUUAGAGAAAUUUUAUGAAUAAGAUUCUAAAAUAUGUACACAUUGCCCGUCACUCUUAUUUACUAAUUAAGAUAAGUCGUAACAUAGUAGGUGUACCGGAAGGUGUAUCUGGAAUUA